GGGGACGAAAGGGUUCGACAGCGGUUGACUUCGAGCUGCUGCGUGUCGAGCUGGCGUUGCUCGCUAAACCACGCCACCACUCCCUAAUUGGCGAAACCAGGGAACUCGCCCUCGCCGCCUAACCGCGGUGACGUCGCCUCUCAACCGCUGCCGAGUCGGAGAGAGCGCGGCGACGACUAACUCGGAUGCCCGUCACGGGAAGUUGGGACCGCGGCGGAAAGACAUUCCCACUUACCUGUUCGUAACGGUCGGCCGACGCGCCGGCGGACAGGGACAACACAAGCAACGGCUACGCACGUAGAAGCAGCUCGCGGAGACCGUCUGGACGGGGAGUUCGAUUCUCCCCCGUCUCCACCA
rnacentral:tmRNA from 1 species